ensembl:lncRNA
CACAUACAGAAAGGCACGUAAUACAUGAGAACAAAACAACAAGUCAAAUCAAAUUCAUAAUCAUUGCAUGUACAUUUCCAGGUGUAUCAAAACGGAGAAACAAAGAAUCUCAGUAAUGCUUCAUUUUUACAACCCACUGUUUAGCAGGAAGUGUAGUUACUUACAAAUUAAAACGGUAAUUACGUGAUAAUUGCAUAUAACACUUCGGUUUCGUUGAGAUUCAUUGAACCAAUCAAGUACCAUCUAAGGGUUGCAAAAUUCCGCUUCUGGAGUGACCUGAAUAUUGUAAACCGGGUUGUAAAAUGAAACAGUACCAGAAUCCCAUAUUGUAAAUAGUCAGCAGCAGAUGAACAACAACACAAACAAACCAACAAACUAGAGGUGAAAGGUUAUUAAAACAAACAAAUAUAAGAUAUGGUCCGUAUUUGAAAUGGAAAGUCCUCACACCAGUCUCUCCUCUCACAGAUACCAGUCCUCACACCAGUCUCUCCUCUCCUCACACAGAUACCAGUUAGAUACUAGUCCUCACACCAAUACCAGUUAGAUACCAGUCCUCACACAGAUACCAGUUAGAUACUAGUCCUCACACCAGUCUCUCCUCUCCUCACACAGAUACCAGUUAGAUACUAGUCCUCACACAGGUACCAGUUAGAUACCAGUCCUCACACAGAUACCAGUUAGAUACCAGUCCUCACACAGAUACCAGUUAGAUACUAGUCCUCACACAGAUACCAGUUAGAUACCAGUCCUCACACAGAUACCAGUUAGAUACCAGUCCUCACACAGAUACCAGUUAGAUACUAGUCCUCACACCAGUCUCUCCUCUCACAGAUACCAGUCCUCACACAGAUACCAGUUAGAUACUAUUCCUCACACAGAUACCAGUUAGAUACUAGUCCUCACACAGUUACCAGUUAGAUACCAGUCCUCACACAGAUACCAGUUAGAUACUAGUCCUCACACAGUUACCAGUUAGAUACCAGUCCUCACAUAGAUACCAGUUAGAUACUAGUCCUCACACCAGUCUCUCCUCUCCUCACACAGAUACCAGUUAGAUACCAGUCCUCACACAGGUACCAGUUAGAUACCAGUCCUCACACCAGUCUCUCCUCUCCUCACACAGAUACCAGUUAGAUACUAGUCCUCACACCAGUCUCUCCUCUCCUCACACAGAUACCAGUUAGAUACCAGUCCUCACACAGGUACCAGUUAGAUACCAGUCCUCACACAGAUACCAGUUAGAUACUAGUCCUCACACCAGUCUCUCCUCUCCUCACACAGAUACCAGUUAGAUACCAGUCCUCACACAGGUACCAGUUAGAUACCAGUCCUCACACCAGUCUCUCCUCUCCUCACACAGAUACCAGUUAGAUACUAGUCCUCACACCAGUCUCUCCUCUCCUCACACAGAUACCAGUUAGAUACUAGUCCUCACACCAGUCUCUCCUCUCCUCAGACUCAGAAUCACACACCUUUCAAGGCUCAUCUUGAAGUGCACCUGUAUAGUGUCCUCUGUCCACUGUGGAGUACACCUGUAGUGUCCUCUGUCCACUGUGGAGUACACCUGUAGUGUCCUCUGUCCACUGUGGAGUACACCUGUAGUGUCCUCUGUCCACUGUGGAGUACACCUGUAGUGUCCUCUGUCCACUGUGGAGUACACCUGUAGUGUCCUCUGUGGAGUACACCUGUAGUGUCCUCUGUCCACUGUGGAGUACACCUGUAGUGUCCUCUGUCCACUGUGGA